rnacentral:rRNA from 1 species
GAUGAACGCUGGCGGCGUGCCUAAUACAUGCAAGUCGAGCGAACAGACGAGGAGCUUGCUCCUCUGACGUUAGCGGCGGACGGGUGAGUAACACGUGGAUAACCUACCUAUAAGACUGGGAUAACUUCGGGAAACCGGAGCUAAUACCGGAUAAUGUAUUGAACCGCAUGGUUCAAUAGUGAAAGACGGUUUUGCUGUCACUUAUAGAUGGAUCCGCGCCGCAUUAGCUAGUUGGUAAGGUAACGGCUUACCAAGGCGACGAUGCGUAGCCGACCUGAGAGAGUGAUCGGCCACACUGGAACUGAGACACGGUCCAGACUCCUACGGGAGGCAGCAGUAGGGAAUCUUCCGCAAUGGGCGAAAGCCUGACGGAGCAACGCCGCGUGAGUGAUGAAGGUCUUCGGAUCGUAAAACUCUGUUAUUAGGGAAGAACAAAUGUGUAAGUAACUAUGCACGUCUUGACGGUACCUAAUCAGAAAGCCACGGCUAACUACGUG